UGGUAAGUCGAGCGUGACAGCACCCGGCUCAACCGGGAGAGGACGUGCGAAUCGCGAGGCUAGAGACAGGUAGAGGCGUACGGAAUUCCGGGAGUAGUGAUGCAAUGCGUAGAUAUCCGGAGGAACACCAGUGGCGAAGACGGUACACUGGGCCUGGUCAGACGGUAAGACGCGAAAGCAUGGGGACCGAACGGGACUAGAAACCCCGCUAGUCCAUGCACGUAAACGAUGCUAAGUAGCUGUUGCGGGUAAAAGACCGGCAGUGCCGGAGUUAACGCGAUAAGUUAGCCACCAUGGGGACUAAGCUCGCAAGCAUUAAACUCAAAGGAAUUGACGGGCGCCCGCACAAGCAACGGAGCGUGUGGGACAACUCGAGGGUACACGAAGAACCGGACCUGGGAUGGACAAGACGGUGGUAGGGAACCGAAAGGGGACCGACCUUCGGGAGCCGUCACAGGUACUGCAUGGAUGUCGUCAGCUCGUGUCGUGAGAUGUUCGGUUAAGUCCGGUAACGAGCGCAACCCUCAUCGCUAGUCUACAAGUGUCUAGCGAGACUGCCCGUUCAACGUCGGGAGGAAGCCGGGGAUGACGUCAAGUCAGCAUGGCCGGUAAUGUCCAGGGCUACACACACGCUACAAUGGCCGGUACAAUGGGUCGGCCAACCCGCGAGGGGGAGCCAAUCCACCAAAGCCGGUCACAGUUAGAAUAGCAGACUGCAACCCGCCUGCAGGCAAUCGGAGUUGUUAGUAACCGCAGGUCAG
rnacentral:rRNA from 1 species